AUUUGGAAUGUUGGUGGCUAGAGGUAAGUUGGUGGUUUGGAUUAGUGAAUUUUGUGUUUUCAAAGACUGAUUCUAUUCCCUUCCAAAUGAGUUUUAAUGAAAUUUUGCUUGAGGACAAGCAAGAGUUUGAGUAUGGGGGAAUUUGAUGCAUGCAUUUUAUAUCAUCAUUUAGGUUAAAUCUGGAGAAAUUUGAUGAAUUUUGAUCAGAGUAGCCAUUUGGAGGAGAUUAAAGUCGAAUUGCAAAAAUUUUGAAGUUGAGUUAAAAAUGGCCGAGAGCGACACAACCUGCAGCACAACCGAAUUAGCUUAUGUCGCAGGUUGUGUCGAUCGUCAGAUAUUCACGCCGAGAGCGACACAACCCGCGACACAACUGACUCGGCUUAUGUCGUUUUUACUGGAAAAUUUUUGACGUGGCAUUUCCGUUACUCCAGCCUUUUUACCUCACUUUCUCUGGAUCCUUCCCCCUUUUACCCAUUCUAGAACAGUCCCCUUGCCUAUAUAAAGUGCCCUUUAUCACUUUCUUUCCAUAGAGAGCAAGGGAGGCAUUUUUAGGAAGAUAGAAAGAGGGAAAGGGAGGAGCAUCUUCUGCAUCUUCUUCCAGCAGCAGCAAGGAUCACGUUUCUGCACUUUUCUGCAGAGAUCCUGCUGCAAAUCUGCUGGGUUUUUCUACCCCUUUAAGCUUACAUUUCCAUUAUUUCUUCAUUUCUUCAUUUGGGUUUAUUUUUAAACAAUGAUUUGUGAGUAGUUGAUUGAGAUUCUAGAGAUGGGUUUGUAAAUAUUGAUUUGUUUUGUGGUUUUGAACUGAUUUAGCCAUUUAAAUGAAGAUUGUUAUAUUUUGAUUUA